ACCAGACUCCUACGGGAGGCAGCAGUGGGGAAUCUUCCGCAAUGGGCGAAAGCCUGACGGAGCAACGCCGCGUGAUCGAAUGAAGGCCUUCGGGUUGUAAAGCUCUGUCGCAGAGGACGAAAAUGACGGUACUCUGCAAGAAAGCUCCGGCUAACUACGUGCCAGCAGCCGCGGUAAUACGUAGGGAGCAAGCGUUGUCCGGAAUUACUGGGUGUAAAGGGAGCGUAGGCGGGAGGAUAAGUUGAAUGUGAAAUCUAUGGGCUCAACCCAUAGCUGCGUUCAAAACUGUUCUUCUUGAGUGAAGUAGAGGCAGGCGGAAUUCCUAGUGUAGCGGUGAAAUGCGUAGAUAUUAGGAGGAACACCAGUGGCGAAGGCGGCCUGCUGGGCUUUUACUGACGCUGAGGCUCGAAAGCGUGGGUAGCAAACAGGAUUAGAUACCCGAGUAG
rnacentral:rRNA from 1 species